UGGGGAAUAUUGCACAAUGGGCGCAAGCCUGAUGCAGCAACGCCGCGUGAACGAUGAAGGUCUUCGGAUCGUAAAGUUCUGUUGCAGGGGAAGAUAAUGACGGUACCCUGUGAGGAAGCCCCGACUAACUACGUGCCAGCAGCCGCGGUAAUACGUAGGGGGCUAGCGUUAUCCGGAUUUACUGGGCGUAAAGGGUGCGUAGGUGGUCUUUCAAGUCGGUGGUUAAAGGCUACGGCUCAACCGUAGUUAGCCUCCGAAACUGGAAGACUUGAGUGCAGGAGAGGAAAGUGGAAUUCCCAGUGUAGCGGUGAAAUGCGUAGAUAUUGGGAGGAACACCAGUAGCGAAGGCGGCUUUCUGGACUGCAACUGACACUGAGGCACGAAAGCGUGGGUAGCAAACAGG
rnacentral:rRNA from 1 species